AGAGUUUGAUCAUGGCUCAGGAUGAACGCUGGCGGCGCGCCUAAUACAUGCAAGUCGAGCGACGAAACCGAAGUGGGUAACCACUUCGGCUGAAAGCGGCGAACGGGUGAGUAACACGUGGGUAACGUGCCCCGAACUCAGGAAUAACAACGGGAAACCGUUGCUAAUGCCGGAUGACCCCUGCAGAUCGCAUGUUCAGCAGGGCAAAGAAUUUCGGUUCGGGAUCGGCCCGCGGCCUAUCAGCUUGUUGGUGGGGUAACGGCCUACCAAGGCAGUGACGGGUAGCUGGCGUGAGAGCGCGACCAGCCACACUGGGACUGAGACACGGCCCAGACUCCUACGGGAGGCAGCAGUAGGGAAUCUUGCGCAAUGGGCGAAAGCCUGACGCAGCGACGCCGCGUGAGCGAUGAAGGCCUUCGGGUUGUAAAGCUCUUUCAGCAGGGACGAAAUUGACGGUACCUGCAGAAGAAGGUCCGGCCAACUACGUGCCAGCAGCCGCGGUAAUACGUAGGGACCGAGCGUUGUCCGGAUUUAUUGGGCGUAAAGAGCGCGUAGGCGGCUAUCCACGUCGGAUGUGAAAGCUCAGGGCUCAACCCUGAGAGGCCAUUCGAUACGGGAUAGCUAGAGGCAGCUAGGGGAAAGUGGAAUUCCUGGUGUAGCGGUGAAAUGCGCAGAUAUCAGGAGGAACACCGGUGGCGAAGGCGGCUUUCUGGGGCUGUCCUGACGCUGAGGCGCGAAAGCUGGGGGAGCGAACAGGAUUAGAUACCCUGGUAGUCC
rnacentral:rRNA from 1 species